rnacentral:rRNA from 1 species
AAUGAACGUUGGCGGCGUGGAUUAGGCAUGCAAGUCGAGCGAGAAGGGUUUGGUGCUUGCAUUGAACCUGGAAAGCGGCGAAAGGGAGAGUAACGCGUGGAUACGUACCCUGGGGUCUGGGAUAGCGUCGGGAAACUGGCGGUAAUACCGGAUAACAUCCCUGGAUCAAAGGUUUACCGCCCUAGGAGCGGUCCGCGUCCUACUAGCUUGUUGUGGGGUAAUGGCCUACCAAGGCAAUGAUGGGUAGCGGGCGUGAGAGCGUGACCCGUCUCACUGGGACUGAGACACUGCCCAGACACCUACGGGUGGCUGCAGUCGAGAAUCUUCCGCAAUGGACGAAAGUCUGACGGAGCGACGCCGCGUGCGGGACGAAGGCCUUCGGGUUGUGAACCGCUGUCAGAGGGAAGGAAAUUUUGACCGAACCUCAGAGGAAGUCCGGGCUAAGUUCGUGCCAGCAACCGCGGUAACACGAACCGGACGAACGUUAUUCGGAAUUACUGGGCUUAAAGAGUGCGUAGGCGGCCAUGUAAUGUGGGGUGUGAAAGCCCACGGCUCAACCGUGGAAUUGCGCUCCAAACCACUUG